UGAGGUGAGCUAUUUUUAUGACAGACUUGAUUAUUCUGCAAACGCCCAUAGUGAUUUUCUCAACCAGGCCAUCGCUGGUCACGAUCUCAUAUCCAGCUCAUAUGCACAGCUGUACAUCAGCUCACUUACAGAUGGCUCUCUAACCGUCUAACAAACUCUGGAACAGCCUCGUCAUCCCCUCUAUAAAUAAAGGAUUAAAGAUCCUCCAUCGGUAAGUCUAGCUUUUAGAAAUUAGGA
rnacentral:lncRNA from 1 species